AUUGAACGCUGGCGGCAGGCCUAACACAUGCAAGUCGAGCGGAUGAAGGGAGCUUGCUUCUGGAUUCAGCGGCGGACGGGUGAGUAAUGCCUAGGAAUCUGCCUGGUAGUGGGGGAUAACGUCCGGAAACGGGCGCUAAUACCGCAUACGUCCUGAGGGAGAAAGUGGGGGAUCUUCGGACCUCACGCUAUCAGAUGAGCCUAGGUCGGAUUAGCUAGUUGGUGGGGUAAAGGCCUACCAAGGCGACGAUCCGUAACUGGUCUGAGAGGAUGAUCAGUCACACAGGAACUGAGACACGGUCCAGACUCCUACGGGAGGCAGCAGUGGGGAAUAUUGGACAAUGGGCGAAAGCCUGAUCCAGCCAUGCCGCGUGUGCGAAGAAGGUCUUCGGAUUGUAAAGCACUUUAAGUUGGGAGGAAGGGCAGUAAGUUAAUACCUUGCUGUUUUGACGUUACCAACAGAAUAAGCACCGGCUAACUUCGUG
rnacentral:rRNA from 1 species